rnacentral:rRNA from 2 species
AACCAACAGGGAUUGCCCUAGUAACGGCGAGUGAAGCGGCAACAGCUCAAAUUUGAAAUCUGGCGUCUUUGGCGUCCGAGUUGUAAUUUGCAGAGGGCGCUUUGGCAUUGGCAGCGGUCCAAGUUCCUUGGAACAGGACGUCACAGAGGGUGAGAAUCCCGUACGUGGUCGCUAGCCUUUACCGUGUAAAGCCCCUUCGACGAGUCGAGUUGUUUGGGAAUGCAGCUCUAAAUGGGAGGUAAAUUUCUUCUAAAGCUAAAUACUGGCCAGAGACCGAUAGCGCACAAGUAGAGUGAUCGAAAGAUGAAAAGCACUUUGGAAAGAGAGUUAAAAAGCACGUGAAAUUGUUGAAAGGGAAGCGCUUGCAGCCAGACUUGCCUGUAGUUGCUCAUCCGGGUUUCUACCCGGUGCACUCUUCUACAGGCAGGCCAGCAUCAGUUUGGGCGGUUGGAUAAAGGUCUCUGUCAUGUACCUCUCUUCGGGGAGAACUUAUAGGGGAGACGACAUGCAACCAGCCUGGACUGAGGUCCGCGCAUCUGCUAGGAUGCUGGCGUAAUGGCUGUAAGCGGCCCGUCUUGAAACACGGACCAAGGAGUCUAACAUCUAUGCGAGUGUUUGGGUGUCAAGCCCGAGCGCGUAAUGAAAGUGAACGGAGGUGGGAACCUUUCGGGGUGCACCAUCGACCGAUCCUGAUGUCUUCGGAUGGAUUUGAGUAAGAGCAUAGCUGUUGGGACCCGAAAGAUGGUGAACUAUGCUUGAAUAGGGUGAAGCCAGAGGAAACUCUGGUGGAGGCUCGCAGCGGUUCUGACGUGCAAAUCGAUCGUCAAAUUUGGGCAUAGGG